rnacentral:rRNA from 1 species
UACAUGGGGUGCAAACGUUGCUCGGAAUCAUUGGGCGUAAAGCGCACGUAGGCGGUUCGUUAUGUCGGAUGUGAAAGCCCUCGGCUUAACCGGGGAAGUGCAUCCGAAACUGGCGAGCUUGAGUACUAAAGAGGGUCGCGGAAUUCCCGGUGUAGCAGUGAAAUGCGUAGAGAUCGGGAGGAACAUCAGUUGCGAAGGCGGCUCUCUGGACCAGCACUGACACUGAGGCACGAAAGCGUGGGGAGCAAACAGG